rnacentral:rRNA from 1 species
UACGAGGGGGGCAAGCGUUGUUCGGAUUUAUUGGGCAUAAAGGGUGCGUAGGCGGUUUGGCAAGUCUUGUGUGAAAUCUUUGGGCUCAACCCAAAGUCUGCACAAGAAACUGCCGGGCUUGAGUAUGGGAGAGGUGAGUGGAAUUUCCGGUGUAGCGGUGAAAUGCGUAGAUAUCAGGAGGAACGCCUGUGGUGUAGACGGCUCUCUGGACCAUUAUUGACACUGAGGUACGAAAGCGUGGGUAGCAAACAGG